GACGAACGCUGGCGGCGUGCCUAAUACAUGCAAGUCGAACGCUGAAGGAGGAGCUUGCUCUUCUGGAUGAGUUGCGAACGGGUGAGUAACGCGUAGGUAACCUGCCUGGUAGCGGGGGAUAACUAUUGGAAACGAUAGCUAAUACCGCAUAAGAGUAGAUGUUGCAUGACAUUUACUUAAAAGGUGCAAUUGCAUCACUACCAGAUGGACCUGCGUUGUAUUAGCUAGUUGGUGGGGUAACGGCUUACCAAGGCGACGAUACAUAGCCGACCUGGAGGGGUGAUCGGCCAAACUGGGACUGAGACACGGCCCAGACUCCUACGGGAGGCAGCAGUAGGGAAUCUUCGGCAAUGGACGGAAGUCUGACCGAGCAACGCCGCGUGAGUGAAGAAGGUUUUCGGAUCGUAAAGCUCUGUUGUAAGAGAAGAACGAGUGUGAGAGUGGAAAGUUCACACUGUGACGGUAUCUUAACAGAAAGGGACGGCUAACUACGUG
rnacentral:rRNA from 1 species